CAUGCAGCGUCACCCGACACCUUCUCCCCGCGUGGAGGUGUCGGUGGAGUAUGGCCUCCCGUGUCGUAGGUCUCGACGCGGUUGGCCCAAAUGGGAAGCUCGGGGCAACGGAUGCCGUGACAAUGGGUGGUCAGCGAGGCCGAAAGGCACGGUCACGACGUCUUGUCACCGCACGGUUUCCCGCCGCUUGUUUCGGUCCCGUCCCGCCGCCAUGGCGGGAUGCA
rnacentral:misc_RNA from 1 species